UUUUUUUAAAGAAUUUUCUGUUUGUGCCCCCUCAAGAAUAACAAAAAUAAUCAUUAAUAAAAUUUCUGUUUAAUGUUAUAUAGCUGGCGUGAGUCACGUGACCAUACCGUCACGUGACCAUUCCGUCUCUUCCUCACGCCAGAGCGCACAGCCGGUCACAACAAGCUGCAAGCAAGCACCCACAUUUUCUUCAUGGCCGAGCGAGUGGUGCAAAGCUUUUAGGACAUACAUAUUGAUUGGGAGAAACGGACUAACACCGACAUGCUUCGUAAGGACAGGAGGAGGAAGCAGCGACAGAAAGAGCUACAUGAGGCAGCUAAAGGCAGUGGGUCCCUCACCAGCUGGAUAAAAAAAAAGAGUACAGUCUGAGAUCAACACAGCCUUGCCCUCCAGCAUCAUCAGCAGCAGCAAGAGGAGCGACCCUGCAACAGCUACACUGUACCCCAUCAUCAGGUAAAAUAGGACAGCAAUAGAUCAGGAGGUGGAGCAGGUUGUCCAGUAAUAAGAAGGUUGCAGGUUUGAGCCUGACUUCAAUCAGAGAUUGAUGCUGUUGAGUCCUUGGGCAAGACACUUAACCUGCUUUGCCUGCUGGUGGGGGUCGGAGGGACCGGUGGCGCCUGUGCUCAGCAGCUUCACCUCUGUCAGUGCGCUCCAGAGCAGCUAUGGCUACAUCAUAGCUCAUCACCAUCAGUGUGUUAAUGUGUGUGUGUGAAUGACUGAUUGUGUUGUAAUGUGCCUUGGGGGGCUGUAGAACCCUAAGAAGGCAUUGUUGAGGGUCUGACCUCAUGAGGAAAUUACUAUGCAGUGAUUUUCUCCAAAAUGACUGUGCUUAAAUUGCUCUGAAAAGCAAAUAAUCACAUCAGCGCCAAGAAACUUCAUUUCCCAUGAUGCUUUGCACACCGAAGCAUUGUGAUGAUGUCACCGCCUAAUACCAGAAACACGUUCUGCGCAUGUGCGGGAGGCCAUGGAACUUUUCCCGCAAACUAAGACCAUAAAUCUUCAGCAAAGACAAAGGAACCUCGUUCUUUUGCCCAGGAUACCUGGCGGUAAGGACACGCUUGUCGAACGCUCCGACAACUUGAGCACGCGGAAGCUCUAAGUGCCCAAGCUGAGCCACGCAACCGCUGGAAACUACACUCCAACUCCAUCAGGACCUGACUGGGAACGAGCGGAGCUCCAUCCAGCUCUCAGAGACGCUGUAAGUUGUCAAACUCAGCCCAAAAGAAACUUCGUUCUCUUUGUGUCCAGCCCGUGGAGAAACACUCGUGGAGCCAAACAACGGAGAAAGCAUCAAACCGACGGAUGACGCUGAAAACUGCGGAGAAACACGGAGAACCGUCAAAUCAAAACAGUGAGGGACGCCUCGCUCUUCUGGUGAUCAGAAAACUCAUUUUUCUCUCUCCUUUUCUCCUCCCGUUUCCUCUAUAGUCCAGAAUAAGCAAUAAAACCGCGCUAUUGCUUAAAAAGUAGCUUCGUGUUUUCCUCUUUCGCUCCCAAAACACGUCCGCCGGGUCAUUUUGAAAGAAUAAACUGCUUAUUGAUCAUCGCUAAUAUCUUUAGUCGUCAGCUCUGGCCAGGCUGCCGACUCCUUUUAGAUUAAAUAAUUUACAAGUGACCUUUUGUUGUUUGUUAACUUUUGAAGUGUUUGAGUUAAGUUUUACUGUGAUUCCAAGCCACUAAGUGUUCGGGAAAGUAGAAAACUUUACACAUCCAGGUCUCCUGUUGAAUGCGAGGGGAGGGGAAGAGCCCCACACACACUCACAGCUCACUCCCCCCACCUACUCUGGGGAAACAAAGACCCAUUCAUCUCACACACACACACACACACACACACACUCACUCACACACACCACACAAACACCUUGAACAUUAUUUUGAAUAUACAUCCUUUUAUUAUAUCACAUGGUUAUUAUUCAUUUAUGCCACUGUUUAUUCAUUUGACAAAUUGUUAAUUAAGCGUUAUAAAAUUCAGAUUUUCGUCUCCAGUAGCUUUGUUGUGUCGAAGAGAAGUCUCUGCUCCAAGGAUUCUACGAACUUCAAGAAAGACUGAUAAGAGUUUUGGAUUCAAUUUUUCCCCGGUUAAAGGGGAAUGGUGCCCCGUAUAUCUAAGAAUAUCUUAAUUAAUUAAUAAAUCAGUAAAUAUUCCCAUAUUUACAGAAUUUAUUGAAGAAUCCAAAAGUAAGUUAAAGCUUAC